GGGCGGCGUGCUUAACACAUGCAAGUCGAGCGGUAAGGCCCUUCGGGGUACACGAGCGGCGAACGGGUGAGUAACACGUGGGUGAUCUGCCCUGCACUUCGGGAUAAGCCUGGGAAACUGGGUCUAAUACCGGAUAUGACCUUCGGCUGCAUGGCUGAGGGUGGAAAGGUUUACUGGUGCAGGAUGGGCCCGCGGCCUAUCAGCUUGUUGGUGGGGUAAUGGCCUACCAAGGCGACGACGGGUAGCCGACCUGAGAGGGUGACCGGCCACACUGGGACUGAGACACGGCCCAGACUCCUACGGGAGGCGGGUGG
rnacentral:rRNA from 2 species